GAUGAACGCUGGCGGCGUGCUUAACACAUGCAAGUCGAACGGAAAGGCUCCUGCUUGCAGGGGUACUCGAGUGGCGAACGGGUGAGUAACACGUGGGUGAUCUGCCCUGCACUUCGGGAUAAGCCUGGGAAACUGGGUCUAAUACCGGAUAGGACGAUGGUUUGGAUGCCAUUGUGGAAAGUUUUUCGGUGUGGGAUGAGCUCGCGGCCUAUCAGCUUGUUGGUGGGGUAAUGGCCUACCAAGGCGUCGACGGGUAGCCGGCCUGAGAGGGUGUACGGCCACAUUGGGACUGAGAUACGGCCCAGACUCCUACGGGAGGCAGCAGUGGGGAAUAUUGCACAAUGGGCGCAAGCCUGAUGCAGCGACGCCGCGUGGGGUAUGACGGCCUUCGGGUUGUAAACUCCUUUCGCUAGGGACGAAGCGCAAGUGACGGUACCUGGAGAAGAAGCACCGGCUAACUACGUG
rnacentral:rRNA from 1 species